UUUUUCUUUCUUGGUUUGGUCUCUACCUCAUCCAAUAUCUUUCAAUUUCCUUAGAAUAAAUUUUUGGCUCUAGAGUGAAACAAGUUAUUAUAGUAGAUGAAGACUUUAUCAAACUUCCCCCUUUUAUUUUUGUUCUUUGUUGAUGACGUCAUUUAAAAGAUUUUCAAUUUCACAAUAUUGAAAAAAAGAUUAAGAAAAAUGAUUUUAGGAUGAGAAGAAAAAAAAAGGGGAAAAUACUAAAAAUUCUUUCUUUCUCAUCCUAUUUUUCUAAAUAAUUUUAAUUUUAUUUCCUCUAAGUUCAUGCAUGGUUCAAAAAGGAGGGAAAAUAAAAAAUAAAAAAGCAGAAUUUUAAAAUAUUGAGAUUAUUAUUUAAAGGAAGGUGGAAACAUUUUGUGGACAAAGUUUCAAAAUUGAAGAGUUGAUGUGCGAAUAAACCGAUAGAGAUGAAAGUGAAAUGUGAAAGCAAGGUACGGCAAAAUUGUCAAAGAAAAAUUGGGAAGAGUGGAGAAAAUGGUGGAAGGUUGUGUUUCAUGAACAAAACGUUAUGCAUUUGGUAGUUGAAAACUCGGAACGCGGAGAAGCUAAGGCCACAAGUUUCUUGCCUAGGGAACAAAAGUCCUGAGCCCCCGGUCAAAAGGCGUUAUCAGUGUACACGUCGUUACCAUUAUUAACAUGUAAUAUCCCUAAUUUAGUUUUCACCAAAUAAUAAUAAUAAAGAUAUAUUAUCUUUUUUUUAAAAAAUUAUAAAUUUUAAACAGGGAGUUUUAGUUUGAAAUAUAUAUAUAUAUAAAAUAAAUGUAAAUAAUAUAGAGAAGAGAUAAAACCCUUGAGAAAAAAGAAGACUAAAUAAAUAAACUUUGAAAUUGGUUUCAUCAUUUAUUAUUUUUAUUCUCAAUAGAAUAAUUUGAAAAAUAUAUUAUAUGAUAUCACUUUUUUUUUAUAUAUAUAAAGAAAAUUGUUGAUAUAUUUCUUAUUGAGCCAAAAAAAAACUCAUUAGCUUUGAUUUUGAAAACCCCUAGAGGUGAGUGAUUAUUUGUAUCAUGUUUUAAAUUAUCAAGUUAAUUUAAAUUGAAUUAGUAUUUCAUAAUGAUGUGAAUCUAUCAUGAAAAAAUAGUUUUAACUUGAUAGAAUCACUCUUUACUGAAAAUCCAUCACUUUUGUUUUCACCUUUAUAUUGGCAAGAAUAACCCAGGCUAUAAGCUUGUGGCACAGGGUGUCUCCUCGGAUGGUUGUCUCUAAAGUGAGUUCAGUCGUGAAGAGAUUUUGGUUUCGAACCUUCUGUAAACAGCUGUAUUAUAGUGCUUUCGCUAAAAAUGGCUUUAAGAAAAAUCAGUGUCUACACAUGUUAUAUAACAAAAACUGAUUUAUCAAGUGGUUAUUGAUGGUAUCAGGAAACCCUCUCAAAAUUACUUCCGGGGCAGUAGGUCAUAAAGAGAUCGUAAUACCAUCCUCAAUAGUCACUGAGAUAACCAAAUUUCAACGAGUGGGAAGUCUAGUUUUCUGUUUCAAGUAAAUUUAGAAGGAAACUCUCAAUUUGAUUGAAAGACCCAUCCUCUCUAAAACAAUUGAAGAGAGGCGUGUGAGAAAACGCACUCCAUAUACACACACAACACAACCAUGAACAUACAAAACUUAGCACCCUCCUGGCCAACAUGGUACAAAGAGUACAAAUAGGUUCCAUUGUUACUCGUCACAAUUUAUUAAAACAAUUAAAUAUACCUUUAAUUUAUUGUAAAAAAACCCAUUUUCAAAACAAAUACUGUGUUUUUAAGUUAGGCAAUCUAUUUCUAUUCCAAGGAGGGAAAAAACACCGUUUUUAAGAAUAAUUUCCAAACAAACCCCAAGGAUUAACUCAUCUCAUUCUAAUACCCUUAUCCGGGUAAAGAUCUGACACCGAUGCUCCACGAACCAACACAAUCUAGACUGUUAAUACAAUUAUAAGAUGUCAGGGAAAAAUUAUCCCAGUAUUUUGACCAACAAAAAUUUCAGGCAACGCAUGCGGUCAACAAUUGCUGCAUUUGGGGCUCCACUAUGCCCAGAUUCAUGAUUUUGAACACAAAAAAUAAAAGAACAAUGAGCUUGAAAAGAAAUAGGAGAGACUGACUGAUGAGAGAAAAUGUGCAUGCACCAACUUUUCCAAACUCGUGAAAUACGAGAAUCUAAGUGUCCCGGUCAAAUCAUGUCCCACAUUCUCUUUCUCAUGCCUGUAUUCCAUCCAACAAAACUACCACGGUUGACGGGGCAGUGCCACCAGUCCACAUUAUUAUGCCUUUAGCACAGAUCCCGGAAUGGGACACCUUCUUCAUACUUAUUUUAUUAAUGCAAUUUUAUACGAAAAAAACAAGUUUCUGAUCAAUAGCCAAUAAGCAGCGUCAACAAGGCACUAGUUCAGUUACGUUUUUGGUUCUUACCAGAGCUAACAUUGUGCAAGAAAAUAAAGAACUAGAACAGAUAGAAACCAAACAAAAUCCAGUCUAGAUAAUGAGAGUUACUUUCUCAAUACAAUAGAAUGGGCAUAAGCAAAAACUUUUACUUGAGAGGAAUGAACCUGGAAGAGUGGGUGGCACCAAUACCAGGCCUUCCAUGCUUGACAGGUUUGUAAGAGAUUGAGAAUUCAGCCAGAUAAUGACCGAUCAUUUCAGGCUUAAUUUCAACUUGAUUGAAGGUCUUCCCGUUGUAAACCCCAACAAUGCUGCCAAUCAUUUCAGGUACUAUGAUCAUGUUGCGGAGGUGAGUUCUAACUGGCUCUGGUUUCUCACCAGGUGGUGCCUCCCGUUUCUGUUUUAAGACAUCACAACACCAAAAUGAAAAUAUUAAUGAAUAAUCCCCACUUCCUUUGUGAUUUACUAAACUGAUUAAUCAUCAAUACAAAUUAAAGCAAAAAGAUAGGAAAUUAUUGCAUAGUUAGGGGUCCCUAAAAAAAGGAAAAAGGGCAGCAUAAAUAACUUUUUAUUAACCUUCUUCAAAGAUAAAUCUCUCAAAUAUAAGAGACUUAAUUUGAGGCUCCAUGUCAGUACUGUGCUACCAGAUACCACACAUUCUUGCAAGGGUACUCACUAACCAAUAUCAAUAAAAUGAUCUUUAUAUGGCAAAAAUCAUAACUAACUGAUGCAUAAACAACAAUGCAAUUUUUACCUGACUACCAUUUUAUUUAAUUUGUGGAAAAUGAAAAUAAUGAAAAACACAAGAAUACCAGAAAAAUGAAAAAUCCAUUAGAGUUCUUGUAUUGCAGGAUCAAAUGCUAAACAGAAUACGGUUGCAGCAAUUAGGUCACUAGCCUAAAACAUUUUAUCAUGUCCAUGCAUAAAUCCUAGAGAAGAAUAGCCUAGCACAUACACAGAUAAAUAAAUCCUGGAAAAUCUUAUUUAAUCUUAUGUUAUGGGAGUUCAUGGAAGUGUCAAAGGGAUAAACACAGAAACACUUGUGAGUGAUGAGAAAUCGAAAAAGGCUAUUAAAGGAAAUUAUACUGUCCCAUAAAUUUAAAGCUUGAUAAUAAUAGAGAGAAAUUGACGACAGAAAGAACGAUUAAUCGAUAUGGCAUGAUGUACAUUGGAGACCAUGCAUACUGGGGUACACAAAUGAAAUUGCAUACAUGAAGAAAAUAGGAAAUAUAAUAAUACCAAAUAGGAUCAGAGAAGCUCAUGAAAACAUGGUAUCACAGUCAAAGUUCAUAAGAAUACGGAAAUAGAAGACAGAGCAACAAGAUCUUAAUACAUGCUACUUUUAAUCAAAUCUAACAGCCAAAUUCCAUUUAAACGAUUGUGUUUGAAGCAACAACUCCCCAAACUGAACCACAGCUAUGACUGCCAUUGUCGCAGAUGUUUUCUAUAGGCAGACAUGCAGGGCAAGGAAUUUUUCCAACCAGCAAGAUUAGGUGCGAGUUUUAUAUAUCAAACACAAAUUAUGAAAUUGAGAGGCAAAACACAACAAUUAAUGCAGAAAAAGAAAAAAAAAUUCAACAUUUAUAGCCUUUUUAGGAAUAUAAUAUUAGUCUAAAGUUAACAUGCGGACUAAUGCCACAAGUUAACAUUCAUUACAUAACAUGUUGUACUGUAAACGGAGAAACCCAGACACAGACAAAAUGCAAAUGUGUGGUUAGUUACUUAAAGUAUUAAAAAUAUGAUUAUCAAGUUGCAUGAGGUGCAUAUAUGUAAAUGUACCAAAACUACAAAAGGCUAAACUUCUUUUAGUAAACCUAGGCUAUGUGGUACAAAUCUACAAGAAAACCAGCUAAGAUUAAAUCAUGUGGAAUUUUAUGACAACAAUUCAAUGACAUGAGCCUUAAAAAUGAUUUCUGAAGCCAGUCCAACCUUCAACCCUAAAUCCAUCAAGUGUUUACUUCAAUUUUUCCCCUUUUCAUAGGAGUUUGGGAUCAGACUGACGUGCAAAAGUCAUUCAGCAUAGCAAAGACAAUUUAGCCUAUGAUAAACUGUUUACAUCUCAUCAUUUCCCAAACUCCAUGGUAUCAAAAUGAUAUCACACAUUGAUAACUCCAACGCAUCAAUGAUAGGCCAAUCCGGGAUAACUUAGCUCAGCUACUUGGGUAAAUGUACCAAAACUACAAAAGGCUAAACUUCUUUUAGUAAACCUAGGCUAUGUGGUACAAAUCUACAAGAAAACCAGCUAAGAUUAAAUCAUGGGGAAUUUUAUGACAACAAUUCAAUGACAUGAGCCUUAAAAAUGAUUUCUGAAGCCAGUCCAACCUUCAACCCUAAAUCCAUCAAGUGUUUACUUCAAUUUUUCCCCUUUUCAUAGGAGUUUGGGAUCAGACUGACGUGCAAAAGUCAUUCAGCAUAGCAAAGACAAUUUAGCCUAUGAUAAACUGUUUACAUCUCAUCAUUUCCCAAACUCCAUGGUAUCAAAAUGAUAUCACACAUUGAUAACUCCAACGCAUCAAUGAUAGGCCAAUCUGGGAUAACUUAGCUCAGCUACUUGGGUGAUCAAAAUUUUUUUUUCUGCCAAAGCACAUCAAGAACAAAACAAAAAGACUAUCAUAUUUGUUGUACUUCACAAAGUUUGGGAUCAGACUGACGUGCAAAAAAUAUUCAGCAUGGCAAAAAAACCAUUAAGCCUAUGCUAACCUGUUUGAAU
rnacentral:lncRNA from 1 species